CCACCCUCAACCCCAAAAACACAGUGACAACCAUGUCUGUGUGGACACCCGGUCAGCAAACAGCAUCUUAAUCACUUUAUUCUGGUCAGUGUUGCAAGGAAUCUGGAGCCUACCCAAAAAACACUGGCUGCAGGGCCAAGGACAGGCCAUCAUUUGAGGUUCAGAAGGAGAUCCACCAUCUGUACGAUCCACCAGCACAGUCACCUACAAGCUGCCGAUUAGGUUGAACAUUAUCUCACCUCCCGACCCACGCAGCGUGUCAAUCACCGUUCUCUCCUCAUCCUGACAACAUCCCUGCCAAACAUACCUCCUUCAAACACGGCCUUCUCCGAUCCGAUCACGAGAGGACGCCUCUUGCUCCGAAAGCAUUUUAAUUUCGUCUGCACAUGACAGAGAAGUCAACACAAGCAGACAGGUGAAGAAUAUUCAUUUAGUUGGCACCUGAUUCAACAGGCUCUGUGCUUCUGCACUUUUUCUGCCCAUAAAUAUGUUUUUGCACGCUGCACAGCUGGUAGGGUGCC